UACGAAGGGGGCUAGCGUUGCUCGGAAUCACUGGGCGUAAAGGGUGCGUAGGCGGGUCUUUAAGUCAGGGGUGAAAUCCUGGAGCUCAACUCCAGAACUGCCUUUGAUACUGAAGAUCUUGAGUUCGGGAGAGGUGAGUGGAACUGCGAGUGUAGAGGUGAGAUUCGUAGAUAUUCGCAAGAACACCAGUGGCGAAGGCGGCUCACUGGCCCGAUACUGACGCUGAGGCACGAAAGCGUGGGGAGCCAACAGG
rnacentral:rRNA from 1 species